ACUCUGGACCCCCUGCAGUAUGCCUACUGGCCCAACAGGUCCACCUCAGAUGCCAUCGCAGCCGCACUACAUUAUUCCUUCUCCCAUCUGGAGAACAAAGACUCCUACAUCAGGAUGCUCUUUGUUGACA